UACGUAGGAUGCAAGCGUUGUCCGGAAUUAUUGGGCGUAAAGAGCGCGCAGGCGGUAUGACAAGUCAGAUGUGAAAGAGGCCGGCUUAACCGGCAAGGGUCAUUUGAAACUGUCAGACUAGAGUGUAGCAGAGGAUAGUGGAAUUCCCGGUGUAGUGGUGAAAUGCGUAGAGAUCGGGAGGAAUACCAGUGGCGAAGGCGGCCUUCUGGACUGACACUGACGCUGAGGCGCGAAAGCCAGGGGAGCAAACGGG
rnacentral:rRNA from 1 species